CACGUAGGCGGCAGUGUAUGUCAGAUGUGAAAUACUCCGGCUCAACCAGAGAACAGCAUCUGAAACUGCACAGCUAGAGUACAGAAGAGGGAAACGGAAUUCCCGGUGUAGAGGUGAAAUUCGUAGAUAUCGGGAGGAACACCAGUGGCGAAGGCGGUUUCCUGGUCUGAUACUGACGCUGAGGCGCGAAAGCGUGGGGAGCAAACA
rnacentral:rRNA from 1 species